rnacentral:rRNA from 1 species
GACGAACGCUGGCGGCGUGCUUAACACAUGCAAGUCGAACGGAAAGGCCCCUUCGGGGGUACUCGAGUGGCGAACGGGUGAGUAACACGUGAGUAACCUGCCCUUGACUUCGGGAUAACUUCAGGAAACUGGGGCUAAUACCGGAUAGGAAUCCUUGCUGCAUGGUGGGGGUUGGAAAGCUUCGGCGGUUUUGGAUGGACUCGCGGCUUAUCAGCUUGUUGGUGGGGUAGUGGCUUACCAAGGCUUUGACGGGUAGCCGGCCUGAGAGGGCGACCGGCCACAUUGGGACUGAGAUACGGCCCAGACUCCUACGGGAGGCAGCAGUGGGGAAUAUUGCACAAUGGGCAGAAGCCUGAUGCAGCAACGCCGCGUGCGGGAUGACGGCCUUCGGGUUGGAAACCGCUUUCAGCAGGGGCGAAGCUUGUGGUGACGGUACCUGCAGAAGAAGCACCGGCUAACUACGUG